GUGAUUUCUUUUUGAAAUUUUAUGUCGAAUCAGUAUUAUUAUUGUUGUCGUUGAUUCUUACGUUAUCGAGGCACAUGAAUGAUAGAAACAAAUUUUCUUUUUGAGUAAAAAACUUAUAAGAAAUAUUAAAUUAUAUUGACACGUUGGACAUAAAUGUUAGAUAUUUCAAAAACUCUGAAAGGAUCUCUGAAUCUUCCCUAUCUUAGGGAAAAAAAUUAACUCGAUAUAAUCCUAAUUCUUACGAUACCAUUUCCUCGAUUCGCGUUAUUAAAAUUCUCCAAGCUAUCAAUUACUGUUGAGUUUCAAAAUUUGUAACCAAUAAUUUUUAAAAUUAUUGCAAAAGUCAUAUCUGAUUGUACAAAAAUUUUUCUAAUUCGUUGGAUAACGAUAUUCAAAGUUCAACUUGAACAGUCAGUAAAUUCGGUCGAAACCAAGAAGAGAGCGAAUCGGAUGAGACACGACCAUUGGUUAUCCAUCGAGUCCGACUAUAACGUGACUAAAAAGGAAACCUGUUCCUUAAAGGAUUUUGUGAAUCAUCCCAAUAAAUUUUGACAAAAAUAUCGAGCUUCACAGAAGAUGCGAAGAAGCUGGUAUAAUUCGAGUAACAACGGGUCCUUACGCGCGGAUUCGUUUGAUUUAUUGAUUUCCUUGAUUCUUUAGCCGCGCGCACCCUGUCUAGUGUCUAACUAACAGCAAUAUACGUUAAAUCGACGUAUAAAGUGAGAGGUUUCGUAAGAGAAUCAACGUGUCCUCUGGUGUUCACCGGCAUAAUGAAGAGAGCAGCCAGCCGGCGGAUCCAGCUACGAAACGAAUCGGGAGAAGAUGAAGAUCGGAGAUUACAUUCUUUCGAUUCACUUCUUGAAACGGUACAGGUCAUGAAUAUAUGUAUAUUGCGUGUAUAUAUGGGCACAAACGAUUGCGCACGCCGCGUUUGCUCACCUAGGAUUAGAUAGGCUGCCGGAACCUAACCGUGCACCGUAUAUGUACCUAUACUUUCCCUAUUCUAUGUGAUACACGGGAUUUCUUAUUAAUUUAGGUUUAAAUUUAAUUGAUUUUGAAUUAAAGAAUUAUCCCAACUAUACUUUUACAUUUUAUAAAACUAAUAUACUAUAAUUUCUCAAGUUCUCUAUAGUUCUACUCCUAAUCUAACAAAACUUCAUUGCCUUAUAACGAAAAAUUCAUAUAUACGUAUUCUGUUAUAUUUUACUGGAACUUUGAAAAGCGGAGAUUCACUGAAAUGUUCAUCGGCAAACAAUAGCGACAUCAUUCAAGCGGUGUGUGUUCGAGCUGCGUGAUUUACACCGAUCCUUGGGCCACGCAUCCACCAGCUGGAAUUAAAUUACUUUCUACGGGGCGUUCGCCUUUUGUGAAAUCGACGUGAUCUCUUAACAGCGGCAAUCUUAUUAUCAACGAUACAAGCCGGACGUCCGUUUCAUUAAGCCACGCGUAAGAACUCGACGCGGGCACAAUGCGGGACUAUUUCAGAUCGUUCGGGCAAUAAUUAAGUGUAAUUAAUGUCUCGAGUAAUUGGACAAGGGAGAUGUUGCCCGAAGGAGGUUCCCAAAAUCAGGAUAAAACGCCCCCAUCUGGUUUCAAACGAGGAAAUCUUCUUCGGCGAAGAGUAUAAAGUUAAUCAACUGGCUAGUUAACCGUGAUGAUGUUGAAAAAACGAUGUGAACCAAGUUCAAGAGUAUAGAAAUUAGUAAAUGUGUGUUUUUACAUAUAUAUAUAUAUAAAU